GACUUGAUAUUCAGUCUCAACCUGACUUUGAGAGCUUCUGAAUCUUCUUCCUCCCACACCCUGGGCAAAUACCUGCUACUCAUGGAUGGACAAAUAUAGGAGUCGAGCUAGGCUGCUCGAUCCCAUCUCAAUCCUACAUGACCUGAGACCUGCUCUGAGUAGCCUCUUGGCGACGUCGCAUAUCAUCCUCUCGAGUCUCC
rnacentral:lncRNA from 1 species